GAUGAACGCUGGCGGCGUGCCUAAUACAUGCAAGUCGAGCGAACAGACGAGGAGCUUGCUCCUCUGACGUUAGCGGCGGACGGGUGAGUAACACGUGGAUAACCUACCUAUAAGACUGGGAUAACUUCGGGAAACCGGAGCUAAUACCGGAUAAUAUAUUGAACCGCAUGGUUCAAUAGUGAAAGACGGUUUUGCUGUCACUUAUAGAUGGAUCCGCGCCGCAUUAGCUAGUUGGUAAGGUACCGGCUUACCAAGGCAACGAUGCGUAGCCGACCUGAGAGGGUGAUCGGCCACACGGGAACGGAGACACGGUCCAGACUCCUACGGGAGGCAGCAGUAGGGAAUCUUCCGCAAUGGGCGAAAGCCUGACGGAGCAACGCCGCGUGAGUGAUGAAGGUCUUCGGAUCGGAAAACUCUGUUAUUAGGGAAGAACAAAUGUGUAAGUAACUAUGCACGUCUUGACGGUACCUAAUCAGAAAGCCACGGCUAACUACGUG
rnacentral:rRNA from 1 species